rnacentral:misc_RNA from 1 species
GAUGAAGAACGUAGCGAAAUGCGAUACGUAAUGUGAAUUGCAGAAUUCAGUGAAUCAUCGAGUCUUUGAACGCACAUUGCGCCCCCUGGUAUUCCGGGGGGCAUGCCUGUCCGAGCGUCAUUGCUGCCCUCAAGCACGGCUUGUGUGUUGGGCCUCCGUCCUCCUCCCGGGGGACGGGCCCGAAAGGCAGCGGCGGCACCGCGUCCGGUCCUCGAGCGUAUGGGGCUUCGUCACCCGCUCUGUAGGCCCGGCCGGCGCUUGCCGAUCAACCAAAACUUUUUUCCAGGUUGACCUCGGAUCAGGUAGGGAUACCCGCUGAACUUAAGCAUAUCAAUAAGCGGAGGA